UGUCAAGGGAUGGGAAUCGAACUCACGACCUUCCGCUUACCGGGCAGAUGCCAUGACCACUAGGCUACCCUGGAC
rnacentral:tRNA from 1 species